CGCCUUUUGUUCUUUCUUCCCUAACAUCUCCACACCUAAGACCUAAUAGAGAUCAGAUCUAAGAGAAAAAAAGAGAGAGAAGAAGAGAAGAAAAAAAGUUCUUCUUCCCUUCUUGGUAAUCUGGUUCAGAUCUCGUCGAAUCUGUAUGAAAGAGUUCGCACAGUGAUUAUCUUCUUCAAGAUCCAGAAGAAAAGAUGCAGAUCCAGGACUGAGAAGCGAGAUCUACAAGGUGCUAGCAUAUCGAUGAUCUCGAUGCUCCAAUCAAGCAUCUUCAUAUGGAUAUCAACAGAGAUCAGAUACGUACGCGACUACGAUCGAAAUCCUAAACAUCCGCAGGAUCCAAUGAUAUGGAGAUCUAAUCUCCAAUUUUAUUUUUCUGAUGAUUAUUUUCUUUUUU
rnacentral:lncRNA from 1 species